GGACAGAAUGUUCAUCUUGAUGAAAUCUGGGUUGGGAUUGAAUUUGGGUCAUCUGGGGUCAAAAACUAGGUCACUAGGUCAAAUUAUAGAAAACCGUGUGUAGGCAAUUGAGGUCACAGUUUUCAUCUAAUCUUUAUGAAAUUUGGUCAGAAUGUUUAUCUUGAUGAAAUCUGGGUUGGGCUUGUAUUUGGGUCAUCUUGGGUACAAAACUAGGUCACUAGGUCAAAUAAUAAAAAAACCUUGUGUAGACAAUAGAGGUCACAAUUUUCAUCCAAUCUUUAUGAAAUUUAGUCAGAAGGUUUGUCUUGUUAAAAUCUCAGUUGUUAUCGAAUUUGGGUCAUCGAGGGUAAAGAACUGGGUCACUAGGUCAAAGUUAAAAAAACAACUUGUGUAGACAGUAGAGGUCACAGUUUUCAUCCAAACUUAAUAAAAUUUAGCCAGAAUGUUAAUCUUGAUGAAAUCUUGGUUGGGAUUGUAUUUGGGUCAUCUGGGGUGGAAAACUAGGUCACUACGUCAAAUCAUAGAAAAACCUUGGGUAGACAAUAGAGGUCAUAGCUUUCAUCUGAUCUUAAUGAAAUAUGGUCAGAAUGUUUAUCUUGAUAAAUCUGAUUUUGGAUUGUAUAUGUGUCAUCUGGGGUCAAAAAUUAGGUCACCUGGCAUAUUCUAGUAAAACCUUGUGUAGAUAAAAGGGGUCACAGUUUUCAUCACGUCUUAAUGAAAUUUUGUCAGAAUGUACUAAUUGAUGAAAUCUGGCUUGGGAUCGUAAAUGGGUCUGAUAGAAUUUAAGUUGAUGUAGCAAGGUGAGUCAGGUGAGCGAUUCAGGGCCAUCAUGGCCCUCUUGUUUAUUUUGUUAGUAAACUUUAUUUCAUGAAGGAUUUGUACAGUUUUAAGGGUACUAUUGAAAGAAUGUUAUUUGCUCUAUUUUAUGUUAAAUAUAGAUUGAACAUAUUAUUUGCUGCUUAUGGAACAGUUUUGUUAGGAUUUUUGCCAGAAAACAAGAAGAUUGACGUUGAUGUCAAUUUGUUGACAUCUGGUGAAAAAGGAGUAACAAAUUGUUCAUACAUGUAUAGUACGGAAACAUUUCUGGAAAGAUGUCAAUGCUUUUUUAUCAGAUGUUAAUAAAACAAUUAUAAUAAUAAUAUAAUUAUAAUAAUAUAAAUAAUAUAAUAUAAUAUUUAAUAAUAUAAUAUAAUUUAUAAUAGUAUAAUUCUAAACCCAUUUUUAUACACUUUAACAAGAAUGUGUUUAAAUUAGUGUGAUGCAUUGAAGGUACCUUGUCACAGAUUGAAAAAAUGUACUGAUACCUUGUGUCAAUUUGCACAGUAACAUUUGUAUGAAAUGAGCCACGCUCUGUAUAAUAUUAUCACAAUUAGCAAUUAGUUUGUAUUUUUUAUGCUUUUAUGUGUGUGUGUCACAGCUGUUGGUUAUUCGUAAUGUGUUGUGUGAUUUCUCACUACCUUAAUGUUCGGCACUUUAAUCUGCAUAUGAAUGUUCAUGAUUUGUCUUCUGUCUCAUUGAUUUUGUUUAUUUAUUUUAGCCACCGUCUGGGAAAUGGGCCUUUUAUACCCUUGGAUCAAAUGAUCGGGGGUAUAUUGUUUUUGGCCUGUCUGCCUGUCAUUGUAUGUGUCUGUCUAAAAAAAUUAACCUUGGUCAUAACUAUUGCAAUAUUGAAGAAAGCAACUUUAUAUUUGGCAUGCAUGUGUAUCUCUUGGAGCUGCACGUUUUGAGUCGUGAAAGGUCAAUGUCAUUCUUCAAAGUCAAAGGUCAAAUAUAUGGCUUCAAAGCGGCGCAGAAGGGGCAUUGUGUUUUACAAACACAGCGCUUGUUUAAAAUGAAACAUACCACAAAAGCGAAAAGACCCAUUCAUGUAAGCAUUAUUUUGGACCAGUCACAUUUAUCAAUCAUUUUGUACAAUAUAACCCAAACAUUUAGCUGUAGAAGAGAAUUCAGGAUGGUCUAAUCUCAUCACAUGUAAAAGUUUUUACUAAAUGUUAUGUACAUUCGUGUUUUAAUUCGAUCCUAAUGAAUAUUUACAGUGUGUAUUCGAAUUGUGUAUGUGUGUGAUGAAUUAAGUUUUAGUAUGAAUUAGUAGUUUUUCUUAUUUAGAAAUACAGUAGCAGUUAUUUAUUUUUUACUAUGUCCCUGUACUUAGUCUGACUGUGUAAGACUUUUUCAGUACAUUUUAUUCCAGUAAGCUUGUUGAGCGUGAUAAAUGACUGAUAUUUAUUAAAACUAACAGGGAAACUUAAUUUCCUAUUCCUGUAUGAAUGAUAUGUUGUUUGUUGUAAUCGUUCACAUUAAUGAUUGUUUCUUUUGUAGUUGUUAUCACUUGGUUCUUCCUCAGACGUCUGAACUUUUUCAUCACAUCUUUGUCUAUAAUUUAUUUCUCUGAAAUCUCUUACUUUUUAUGAAAUACAUAUUUGUGCAUAAUUCAUUUAUAAUAAAUAAUGAAAUUA